rnacentral:rRNA from 2 species
GGGACACGUGGUAUCCUGUCUGAAUAUGGGGGGACCAUCCUCCAAGGCUAAAUACUCCUGACUGACCGAUAGUGAACCAGUACCGUGAGGGAAAGGCGAAAAGAACCCCGGCGAGGGGAGUGAAAAAGAACCUGAAACCGUGUACGUACAAGCAGUGGGAGCACCUUCGGGUGUGACUGCGUACCUUUUGUAUAAUGGGUCAGCGACUUAUAUUCUGUAGCAAGGUUAACCGUAUAGGGGAGCCGCAGGGAAACCGAGUCUUAACUGGGCGUUAAGUUGCAGGGUAUAGACCCGAAACCCGGUGAUCUAGCCAUGGGCAGGUUGAAGGUUGGGUAACACUAACUGGAGGACCGAACCGACUAAUGUUGAAAAAUUAGCGGAUGACUUGUGGCUGGGGGUGAAAGGCCAAUCAAACCGGGAGAUAGCUGGUUCUCCCCGAAAGCUAUUUAGGUAGCGCCUCGUGAAUUCAUCUUCGGGGGUAGAGCACUGUUUCGGCUAGGGGGUCAUCCCGACUUACCAACCCGAUGCAAACUACGAAUACCGAAGAAUGUUAUCACGGGAGACACACGGCGGGUGCUAACGUCCGUCGUGAAGAGGGAAACAACCCAGACCGCCAGCUAAGGUCCCAAAGUCAUGGUUAAGUGGGAAACGAUGUGGGAAGGCACAGACAGCCAGGAUGUUGGCUUAGAAGCAGCCAUCAUUUAAAGAAAGCGUAAUAGCUCACUGGUCGAGUCGGCCUGCGCGGAAGAUGUAACGGGGCUAAACCAUGCACCGAAGCUGCGGCAGCGACACUAUGUGUUGUUGGGUAGGGGAGCGUUCUGUAAGCCUGCGAAGGUGACCUGUGAGGG